UUGGGAGAGCCACUAAAUAGU
rnacentral:siRNA from 1 species